CCUACGGGUGGCAGCAGUGAGGAAUAUUGGUCAAUGGUCGGGAGACUGAACCAGCCAAGCCGCGUGAGGGAUGAAGGUACAGAGUAUCGUAAACCUCUUUUGUCAGGGAACAAAGGCGGGGACGUUUCCCCGGAUGAGUGUACCUGACGAAAAAGCAUCGGCUAACUCCGUGCCAGCCGCCGCGGUAAUACGGAGGGUGCGAGCGUUAUCCGGAUUUAUUGGGUUUAAAGGGUGCGCAGGCGGUCUGUUAAGUCAGCGGUGAAAGCCCGGGGCUCAACCCCGGCCCGGCCGUUGAAACUGGCAGGCUCGAGUUGGAGAGAAGUAUGCGGAAUGCGCGGUGUAGCGGUGAAAUGCAUAGAGAUCGCGCAGAACUCCGAUUGCGAAGGCAGCAUGCCGGCUCCACACUGACGCUGAGGCACGAAAGCGUGGGUAUCGAACAGGAUUAGAUACCCCUGUAGUC
rnacentral:rRNA from 1 species